rnacentral:lncRNA from 1 species
CCUGCACUGGAGCACGGAAAUCCUGCUCCCAACAAACUACAUAGGUCAUCUCGGGGCUCAAGCAUUAGUGGGGAAGUUCAUUAGUCUCCAUGGUGAUUUCCCAGUGUCUAUUUCUUUUCUUUUGUCUUUCUUUCUCUCUUUUUAAAAAUUAUUUAUUUAUUAUUAUUAUUUUUUUUUUGGAGACAGUCUCACUCUGUCCUCCAGCCAACAGUGCAGUGGUGCAAUCUUGGCUCACUGCAACCUCCACCUCCCGGAUUCAAUUGAUUCUCCUGCCUCAGUCUCCUGAGUAGCUGGGAUUACAUGUGCCCACCACCACAUCUGACUAAUUUUUGUAUUUUUAAUAGAGACAGGGUUUCACCAGGUUGGCCAGGCUAGCCUCAAACUCCUGACCUCAGGUGAUCCAUCCUCUUUGACCUUUCGAAGUGCUGGGAUUAUGGAUGCAAACCACAGCUCCCAGCCUCUUAGUAUUUAUUUCUUUUGAGCAUAAACGCAAAAAGAUACUUACACAUAUGAUCUUCAAUAUAGACUGCACUUGCUCCAUGAAUUAUAAAAAUAAACAUAACUUCUGUCUUCAAGUACCUUUAAUCAUUCUGCAGAAAGUAUCUGAAGUGAAAAGAAUGGGACUGAGAUACUGCCCGUUUCCAGCACUGCUCCAGAAUGAUCCAGAACAACGUAUUCUCACAGAAAUGGAAUGGGAGUUACAUAUGUCCCUUUACAUUUCCUAA